rnacentral:rRNA from 1 species
AAUUUUGGACAAUGGGGGCAACCCUGACCCAGCCCUCCCCCGUGUGCGAUGAAGGCCUUCGGUUUGUAAAGCACUUUUGGCAGGGAAGAAAAGCCUCUGGCUAAUACCUGGAGCUGCUCACGUCACCUGCAGACUAAGCCCCGUCUAACUACGUGCCAGCAGCCGCGGUAAUACGUAGGGUGCAAGCGUUAAUCGGAAUUACUGGGCGUAAAGCGUGCGCAGGCGGUUCGGCAAGAAGGAUGUGAAAUCCCAGGGCUUAACCUUGGAACUGCAUUCUUAACUGCCGGGCUAGAGUAUGUCAGAGGGGGGUAGAAUUCCGCGUGUAGCAGUGAAAUGCGUAGAGAUGCGGAGGAAUACCGAUGGCGAAGGCAGCCCCCUGGGAUAAUACUGACGCUCAUGCACGAAAGCGUGGGGAGCAAAC